AUUUAUAUAAUAUAAUAAGUAUAUGUGACUUCCAAUCACAAAGUCUAAAAUUUAGUAUAAAUA
rnacentral:tRNA from 1 species